CAGACCGGACAAUCCUGGGAGUGACACUGUUGUCUGGGAAUGGGAACCACACUCAGGGCGGGGAAACCAGACAGUGGUAACUCUCCGCCUCCAGUACAAGGACACGUGGAGCAAACAGUGGGGCAAUGGCUGGGGAAACACAGACAAGAACCAGGAGGUGGAUGUGGAUGACAAUACUGGUAAUCUGGCAAUAACAAAACCCAGAUUUAAAUGGUCAGGAUUGUUCACUUUGACUGAAACACAUCCGAGGAACCAGAUCCUGAAACAAUAUGAAAUAUAUGGGAUGAAAGUUGAGGCAAGUCCACAGAGGCCUCUGCUGGGCAGUGACGUUACACUCAGCUGCACCAUCUCCAGACUCUCAGAUACAGUCAGUCUUCACUGGAGACCCAUGGACUCAUCCCAGCAGAACAGGAGCAACACUGAUCAGAUCCGC